UUGAUACUCUAACGGAAAUAGAGCCGCUGGCAUUAUUAUUCUAACGCUCUUUAUUUGCAUACAGUACGAUAACCUGUUUCGGCCGAAUAAAGAACUAAAUUUUAAAGACAAUGCGUUGCCGUUGUCGUUGCUUCAGGUCCCUAAUGGAUUAUCAUGGCAGUGGUGGUGAUAAUGAUAUUAUUGGCAAAGAUAAUGCUGGUGAUGAUUAUUAUGAUGAUUUUCGUAGUGGUGAUAGAUAUACAAAUAAUGAUCCUAGUGAUGAUAAGUGUGGUGUAGUUUAUGUUCAGGUGAUGGUCAUGGUAGUUGUGAUGAUUGUGUUGAUGAUGGUUAACGUGAUAGUAGUCUACCACUUUUCGUGCAGUCCAUAUAGUGUUGGGUUUAUUUUUUCUCGUUUCUAAUCAAACAUCAUUUACAGAUUAGAGUUAAGCAAGAAGAUUUAUGUCGACGGAAAAUGGUGAAAGUGGAAUAGAGGGUGACACGGAGGCCUUUUAGCAGUAAAAAAAAUUGAGCUUGCUGGAAAAUAUUUAAACGCCUCCGCUUCGACGAGCAAGCUACCAACCUUAUGGUCAACGAGGGAGAAAGACUCGUUCGAAGAAAGGGAAAAAGCGUUGGUGAUGGUGGCCGUGAACGUGGAGAUCACUAUGAGGCCGACCAAAAUCCAGACCACGCCAAACACUCGACCGGCCACUGAACGGGGAGUCUUGUCGCCGUAUCUACAGGUGAAUAUGUAUUAGAGCCAAAGAGAUAGAGGUUAGGAGAGGCUGUGUUAUUUUUGUACCUAUAGUAAAGAGUAUCAAGAAGCUGUACUAGACCCAAAGCCAUUUUAAAGGACAUAAAAUGGUGGGGGUCCACCAGAUGAGAGGUCUGGUAGCUGGAGUAAAAACAGCAACCAAUAAGAAAGUGGAGGCGGUACUUACCCGACAGUUGUCAUGGAGAUGAAAGCCCACCAAAACCCUUCGUAUGAGCCUCGGACAAAAGAUGGCGGGAAUUCGUCCUUGUUAUGGAACAUUUCCUAGGAAAACGAAGAGGUACGUACAUUAAAUUGGGAAGUCAGUAAGCUCUCACUCUGCCAUCAAGGGUCUCUAACUAAUAACCAGGAGCUCCAUAAUAACAGGAUAGGAGAAUAGGAGACUGGUUGACUAUGCUCUUCCCACAUGGAAGAGAAAAUUGUCAAAUAACGUAACAAAAACCACAGCACGCAUCUAACAAACAAUCCAGCAACAACUAUAGAGUGCAAAAUGCCGAAAGCACUUUUAUUUUACG